rnacentral:rRNA from 1 species
GUGCCAGCCGCCGCGGUAAUACGGGAGAGGCAAGCGUUAUCCGGAAUUAUUGGGCGUAAAGCGUCCGCAGGCGGUUAAUCAAGUCUGUUGUCAAAGCGUGGGGCUCAACCUCAUAAGGGCAAUGGAAACUGAUUGACUAGAGUAUGGUAGGGGUAGCGGGAAUUCCAGGUGUAGCGGUGAAAUGCGUAGAUAUCUGGAAGAACACCAGCGGCGAAAGCGCGCUACUGGGCCAUAACUGACGCUCAUGGACGAAAGCUAGGGGAGCGAAAGGGAUUAGAAACCCGCGUAGUCC